rnacentral:rRNA from 1 species
UGAGUAACACGUAAGUAAUCUGCCUUCGAAUGGGGAAUACCUUCGGGAAACCGAAGAUAAUACCGCAUAAUGCAGCGGCACCGCAAGGUGACAGUUGUUAAAGGAGCAAUCCGCUUGAAGAGGAGCUUGCGGCAGAUUAGCUAGUUGGUAAGGUAACGGCUUACCAAGGCUACGAUCUGUAUCCGGUCUAAGAGGACGGUCGGACACACUGACACUGAAUAACGGGUCAG